rnacentral:lncRNA from 1 species
UUCUUUUUUAUAAUUUAUUAGGUGAUUUUUAUGUCAAAUAAGUUAGUUUUAUAAGGACUUAGCAUGUUUCGUGAGUUCUCUUGUUUUAAGAAUUAAUUAGGUGGAGAAAAUAAGCUAUUUUAUGCUAAACAUUUCACUAAUUCUUAGCUUUUAAUCACGAUAAAAUAUUUCUUUUUUGAUUAUAAAAAAUAUUGGAUAACUUAUUUCAUCCCCGAUUAGAAUAUUUGGUAUCAUUAUUGGUAUUUAAUUUUCAUACAAAUAAAGAAAAUUGAAGAAAACGAAAAAGAAAAAGAAGGGCAUAGUUGAGUGAUAUAGCGUCU